rnacentral:rRNA from 1 species
AGUGAACGCUGGCGGUAGGCCUAACACAUGCAAGUCGAACGGCAGCACAGGAGAGCUUGCUCUCUGGGUGGCGAGUGGCGGACGGGUGAGGAAUACAUCGGAAUCUACUCUGUCGUGGGGGAUAACGUAGGGAAACUUACGCUAAUACCGCAUACGACCUACGGGUGAAAGCAGGGGACCUUCGGGCCUUGCGCGAUUGAAUGAGCCGAUGUCGGAUUAGCUAGUUGGCGGGGUAAAGGCCCACCAAGGCGACGAUACGUAGCUGGUCUGAGAUGAUGAUCAGCCACACGGGAACUGAGACACGGUCCAGACGCCUACGAGAGGCAGCAGUGGUGAAUAUUGGACAAUGGGCGCAAGCCUGAUCCAGCCAUACCGCGUGGGUGAAGAAGGCCUUCGGGUUGUAAAGCCCUUUUGUUGGGAAAGAAAUCCAGCUGGCUAAUACCCGGUUGGGAUGACGGUACCCAAAGAAUAAGCACCGGCUAACUUCGUGCCAGCCGCCGCCGUAA